rnacentral:rRNA from 1 species
CCCUUAGAUGUCCUGGGCCGCACGCGCGCUACACUGAUACGUUCAACGAGUCUAUAACCUUGACCGAGAGGUCUGGGUAAUCUUCUCAACGCGCAUCGUGAUAGGGAUUGAUUAUUGCAAUUAUUAAUCAUGAACGAGGAAUUCCUAGUAAACGCAAGUCAUCAGCUUGCAUUGAUUACGUCCCUGCCCUUUGUACACACCGCCCGUCGCACCUACCGAUUGAAUGGUUCGGUGAGAAUUUCGGACCGUGGCAAUGUCCCGUUCAUUCGGGACGCUGCCGUGGGAAGUUAUUCAAACCUCAUCAUUUAGAGGAAGGUGAAGUCGUAACA